GUGAAAUCUAUUGGCUGGAAGAGUCUGCACUCUCUCCACACGAAGGAUGUCUUGCCUUAGGGAAUAGAAACUUUCAAGUCCAGGGCCCAAGCCUCCCUCUCCCCAGGAAGGUGCUGUUUGGAUAAAGCCGGCACUAGCCUUUGAGAUUUGUUUUCCGUUUUUUGCUCAACCCUUGCUUUCCUCAGAGACAUAAACUAAUUCAAUUAGGAUGCAGUCAAGUGUUGGAGGCCUGUGAACCAUUCUGACCAUAUAAGUUGUAGGUCCUUCUAGUUGUGGCAUGUGGGAUGCCGCCUCGGCAUGGCUUGAUGAGCGGUGCCAUGUCCGCGUCCAGGAUCCGAAACAGCGAAACCCUGGGCUGCUGAAGUGAAGCGCGUUAACUUAACCACUUGGCCACGGGGCCGGCCCCAAAACCAGCACUCUUAACUCAACUUCUUUGCCUCUAAUUUGUUUCAAGCCAGCCAGUUUUUCCCAGUGCAAAGAGAAAAAGAAAGAUGUCUUAGGCUUUGCCUAAGGCAAACUAAAUCUCCAAGAAAGAGCAACAUCUAGGAAGAAAGUAAUGAGCUGAAGUCUGGGAAGUUGGAGAGAUGAGACAAGAAAGGAGCUGGAGACAAAAUGAUUCGGAAACUGAAUGAUUCAAAGGCAAGGAAAAGCACAAUGCGAUUGAAGGAUUUAACCUCUCUUCUCGAAAGUUCCUGACUAUGCCACAGCCUAUCAUUACUAGCGCGGUCUGCAAGACUUGUCAGAAAAACAAGCCUGCGGUAAUUGAAGUUUCGGGGCUGUCAUGAAGAGGUCUUCAGAUCUAAAUAGCUUCUGCAAGGCAAAUGGCUCCGUGUUUCUCAGUUGCGGGUUUGUGAGCACGCCCCCUGCCUCGACUGCCUGCUUCUUAAGGAUGUAUUUCCCUUAAUCAUAAAGAUGAUGUCAAAACUCAUUUGGAAACGUCUUCAGAACUCUCAUUAGCAACAUGAGGAAAAUUUUCAUUGACUUGACUGAAGGAACAGAUGAGCACGUCCAUAUAUAUUCUUGAAAGGGAAGACAAAAGCCUGCUCGCCAAUGAUGAAGGAAGAUUAGCCCUGAGCUAUCUGCCACCAAUCCUCCUCUUUUUGCUGAGGAAGACAGGCCCUGAGCUAACAUCUGUGCCCCAUCUUCCUCUACUUUAUAUGUGGGAUGCCUGCCACAGCAUGGCUGGACAAGCAGUGCCAUGUCUGCACCCAGGGACCAGGAUCCAAACUGGUGAACCCCAGGCCACCGAAGCAGAAUGUGUGAACCAAAGUGCUUUGCCACCAGGACAGCCCCU
rnacentral:lncRNA from 1 species